rnacentral:rRNA from 1 species
CCUACGGGGGGCAGCAGUGGGGAAUAUUGCACAAUGGGCGAAAGCCUGAUGCAGCAACGCCGCGUGAAGGAAGAAGGUCUUCGGAUUGUAAACUUCUAUCAGCAGGGAAGAAAAAAAUGACGGUACCUGACUAAGAAGCUCCGGCUAACUACGUGCCAGCAGCCGCGGUAAUACGUAGGGAGCAAGCGUUAUCCGGAUUUACUGGGUGUAAAGGGUGCGUAGGCGGCCUUUUAAGUCGGAAGUGAAAUUUCGGGGCUCAACCCCGGAGCUGCUACCGAAACUGAAGGGCUAGAGUGUGGGAGAGGAAAGUGGAACUUUGAGUGUAGCGGUGAAAUGCGUAGAGAUUCAAAGGAACACCAGUAGCGAAGGCGGCUUUCUGGACCAUAACUGACGCUGAGGCACGAAAGCGUGGGGAGCAAACAGGAUUAGAUACCCGAG